rnacentral:rRNA from 1 species
UACGUAGGGUGCGAGCGUUAAUCGGAAUUACUGGGCGUAAAGCGUGCGUAGGCGGUUCGUUAAGUUCGUUGUGAAAGCCCCGGGCUCAACCUGGGAAUGGCAAUGGAAACUGGCGGGCUGGAGUAUGGCAGAGGGGGGUGGAAUUCCACGUGUAGCGGUGAAAUGCGUAGAGAUGUGGAGGAACACCAGUGGCGAAGGCGACUCUUUGGUCUGUAACUGACGCUGAGGCGCGAAAGCGUGGGGAGCAAACAGG